rnacentral:rRNA from 1 species
GGUUAAGCGACUAAGCGUACACGGUGGAUGCCCUGGCAGUCAGAGGCGAUGAAGGGCGUGCUAAUCUGCGAUAAGCGCCGGUAAGGUGAUAUGAACCGUUAUAACCGGCGAUACCCGAAUGGGGAAACCCAGUGUGAUUCGUCACACUAUCAUUAACUGAAUCCAUAGGUUAAUGAGGCGAACCGGGGGAACUGAAACAUCUAAGUACCCCGAGGAAAGAAAUCAACCGAGAU